UGUUCUGCGGUUUAGUUGGUUAAAACGCCGGACUAGCCAUACGGAGUCGUGGGUUCAAAUCCCAUUAAAACAA
rnacentral:tRNA from 1 species